rnacentral:lncRNA from 1 species
GAUCUUCUUCGGAUAGUCAUCGUCCCUUUAAGAAAGAAAAAAAGAAGAAGAAUAAAAAAGGUGCCAGGUGUUGGGAGUCAGUCCCAGAAACUCAAGUUAAAGGCUGAUCAAAGUCAGGUAGAGUGUUUCUUUUACAAGAAGCAAGGUCACUGGGAGAGAAAUUAUCUUCAGUAUAAAGCUUUUCUUGACCCUAACAGACCAAAAAAGAAGCAACAAUCGGUUGCUGGACAAGGUACUUAUGUGAUAACACCUUAUAACUUCUCUCUUUUUGAUACAAUGACCUGGAUAUUGGAUACUGAAAGCCCUAUUCAUAUUUGCAAUUCAUUGCAGGAUCUUCAGAUCAGUAGG